rnacentral:rRNA from 1 species
ACGGCUCAGUAACACGUAGUCAACCUGCCCUAGAGACGUGGACAACCCCGGGAAACUGGGAUUAAUCCGUGAUAGGUCAUCUCAUCUGGAAGGAGAGAUGGCUUAAAGGGGUACGCGGGCUUCUUCUGCGUAUCUGCUCUAGGAUGGGACUGCGUCCGAUCAGGCUGUUGGCGGGGUAAUGGCCCACCAAACCUGUAACCGGUACGGGCCUUGAGAGAGGUGGCCCGGAGAUGGACACUGAGAGAAGGGUCCAGGUCCUACGGGGCGCAGCAGGCGCGAAACCUUCGCAAUGCGCGAAAGCGUGACGAGGUUAAUCCGAGUGACUUCCGCUGAGGAGGUCUUUUGUCAGCUGUAAAUAGGCAGGCGAAUAAGGGGAGGGCAAGCCUGGUGUCAGCCGCCGCGGUAAUACCAGCUCCUCGAGUGGUCGGGGCGAUUAUUGGGCCUAAAGCAUCCGUAGCCGGUUCCGUAGGUCCUCUGUUAAAUCCAACAGCUUAACUGUUGACCUGCAGAGGAUACCGCGGGACUAGGAGGCGGGAGAGGCGGACGGUACUCCGCGUGUAGGGGUAAAAUCCUUUGAUCCGCGGAAGACCACCAGUGGCGAAGGCGGUCCGCCAGAACGCGCUCGACGGUGAGGGAUGAAAGCUGGGGGAGCGAACCGGAUUAGAUACCCGGGUAGUCCCAGCCGUAAACGAUGCUAGCUAGAUGAUUCAUUCGCAAGUCGCGAAUGAAGUGUCGCAGGGAAGCCGUUAAGCUAGCCGCCUGGGGAGUACGGUCGCAAGACUGAAACUUAAAGGAAUUGGCGGGGGAG